rnacentral:rRNA from 1 species
UACGGGGGGAGCAAGCGUUGUUCGGAUUUACUGGGCGUAAAGGGCGCGUAGGCGGCCUGUGCAAGUCAGUUGUGAAAUCUCCGAGCUUAACUCGGAACGGUCAACUGAUACUGCUCGGCUAGAGUGCGGAAGGGGCAACUGGAAUUCUUGGUGUAGCGGUGAAAUGCGCAGAUAUCAGGAGGAACACCGAUGGCGAAGGCAGGUCUCUGGGCCACUACUGACGCUGAGAAGCGAAAGCAUGGGGAGCGAACAGG